rnacentral:rRNA from 1 species
CCUACGGGAGGCAGCAGUGGGGAAUAUUGCACAAUGGGCGCAAGCCUGAUGCAGCGACGCCGCGUGAGGGAUGACGGCCUUCGGGUUGUAAACCUCUUUCAGUAUCGACGAAGCGUAAGUGACGGUAGGUACAGAAGAAGCACCGGCCAACUACGUGCCAGCAGCCGCGGUAAU